rnacentral:misc_RNA from 1 species
CCGAUGAUCUCGGCACCAAGACCAUCGCCCUUGGUGUAGCCGUGGUUGACGACAUUGGCACCACCACCGUUGCUCUCGUAUAAGCCCUUUUGAAAACCCUUAACCACCCCGGCGCCGCAAAUGGCACCAAGGCAUUGCAUGAUAAUGUAGAAGAUUGCCCUUGUGAGAGAGAGUUUACGGGCGAGGAAGAGACCGAAGGUCACUGCAGGGUUGAUGUGCCCUCCUGAGAUCCCAGCAGUGCAGUAGACGAGAGCAAAGAUCAUGCCCCCGAAAGACCAAGCAAUCCCCUGAAUGCCGACGGUGACGCACUUGUUAGUUGCAUUCUUAGAAACCCCCAUGACAGUGAGGAUGGUGAUGUAGAGGAAGAGGAAGGUGGCGACAAACUCGGCGAUGCCGGCACGGUAGAAGGACCAUGACUUGAGCUCACCGGGCUCGAAAAACGGCGCCGGUGGCGGCUCCUUGUAGUCCUUGUCCUGGGUCUGCGCCGCCGUGCCGAUCGGCUGCCUCUCCGAGUACUUGUUGGCCCCGAGCUUCACGUCUUCCUCCUUCCCCUCCAUUAGGGAUUUCUCAAGGUUGGUGAGGCAAGAUGGUGGCCGGUGGAGAGUAG